UCCAACAGAGCAGGUCUCCUUUGGACUCCUUGGGAAUGGAUUUUUACCACAGAGAAGAAAUGAGUAGAGAGCUCAAGCUGGCUUUUCUCCUUCUGUGGAGACUUGUACUUGCUCCAGGGCUGCUCAUGGACCCCAGGUACUGUAUAUGACAGAAGAUUUGGGAAUUUUCAAG